rnacentral:rRNA from 1 species
UGGGGAAUUUUGGACAAUGGGCGAAAGCCUGAUCCAGCAAUGCCGCGUGUGUGAAGAAGGCCUUCGGGUUGUAAAGCACUUUUGUCCGGAAAGAAAUCCUUGGCUCUAAUACAGUCGGGGGAUGACGGUACCGGAAGAAUAAGCACCGGCUAACUACGUGCCAGCAGCCGCGGUAAUACGUAGGGUGCAAGCGUUAAUCGGAAUUACUGGGCGUAAAGCGUGCGCAGGCGGUUUGCUAAGACCGAUGUGAAAUCCCCGGGCUCAACCUGGGAACUGCAUUGGUGACUGGCAGGCUAGAGUAUGGCAGAGGGGGGUAGAAUUCCACGUGUAGCAGUGAAAUGCGUAGAGAUGUGGAGGAAUACCGAUGGCGAAGGCAGCCCCCUGGGCCAAUACUGACGCUCAUGCACGAAAGCGUGGGGAGCAAAACAGGAUUAGAUACCCUGGUAGUCCCACGCCCUAAACGAUGUCAACUAGUUGUUGGGGAUUCAUUCCUUAGUAACGUAGCUAACGCGUGAAGUUGACCGCCUGGGGAGUACGGUCG